rnacentral:rRNA from 1 species
UACGUAGGGUGCAAGCGUUGUCCGGAAUUACUGGGCGUAAAGAGCUCGUAGGUGGUUUGUCGCGUUGUUCGUGAAAACUCACAGCUCAACUGUGGGCGUGCGGGCGAUACGGGCAGACUUGAGUACUGCAGGGGAGACUGGAAUUCCUGGUGUAGCGGUGGAAUGCGCAGAUAUCAGGAGGAACACCGGUGGCGAAGGCGGGUCUCUGGGCAGUAACUGACCGCUGGAGGAGCGAAAGCGUGGGGAGCGAACAGG